UUCUUAACCAGCCGAGCCACAGGAGGACUAUCACUAUCAUUCAUUACGGAGACUCCUUCUAGGGCACACUUUGUGACCAGGCUUAGAUCAUAUAAUGACUUACGCCAAAAAUGGCUUCUCUUCUGUCAUGAAAGCCAUGCCUGGUUCUCCUUCUCCCCCAUCCUAUCUGCCUCCAAUUUCUAUCUCCUAGGCAUGAAAUGAUUCAAUGAGAUUUGCACAUUGAGCCGCUCACACAGUUCCUGUUACAUGGCAAGCACUCGGGAAAUGGGGGGGAGUGCAGGACCCAGCAAGACACCAUCCUGACCUCUCUAAGUCACUGUCUUCCAUCAGGGACACGUACAGCUACAACAUGGAGAAUGACAUCAGUUAUGCAGCUGCUUCGUUUGUGGCCUGACUUCAUCCCCACAAACAUGCUGCCAUUUGUCAGGAUUUUGCAGAUGAGGAAACAGCACUGGAGAAGUGAGGGUACCAACCCCAAAAAAGUGUUGCCUGAGGCCAAGAGGCCUGAUUUAGUGCAGCCUGCUAGUCUGGGAAUGCUUUCUGUGUUUUUAAGUGAAAGAGAAAAGUAUUUAAAGAAUAAAAAUUCCUCGAUGCCUGAGAAUUAGAAGAAUUCAAAUCAGCUGCCAUGAACAAAGCCUUAUGGGAACACAGCCUGGCUCAUUAGUUUACCAUGGUCCACAGCUGCUUUUGCUACAAAGGCAGAGUUGAAUAGUUAUGACAGGGAGCGUAUGGCCUAGAAAGCCUAAAAUGCUUAUUAUCUGGCCCUUCAUAGAAAAAGCGUGCAGACCUCCACUGGGAAGCACAGCUGUACUGCAAUAGUUUUGCCCCCAAGGAUGCAGAAUGGACAAAUACCAUCUGCGAUAACCCAGGCUGCGCCUAAAGGCUAUGGAGAGGGAAAAGUUUCAGAUCCAGCGAAGGUAGGUCAUUGCAGGGUCGGCUUUAACCUGGAGGGAUUUUGGAGAAGUCGAGUCUAGUGUCUUCUUUUUAGAAGACAAAAGCUAAGGCCCAGAGGCUGGAGGCAACCUGCCCAAGGCCACCCAGCACGCAGCUAACCGCCGGGUUGGGAGCUGCCUCGCUCCCGAGGUUCAGUUGAGGGCCGGGAGAGUGGCUGCAGUUGGGAACGGAGGAGGCUCCUCCCCGGGGAAAGGGGAGGUGCCUGCGCCCGGGGCCUCCGCCUGGUUCCCGCUCCCCGCUGGGAGCAGCGCGCGGCUUUGGCUCCUACUGCGCCGCCUAGUUCUGAAGGUAGAAUGGAAGCUGUACAAGCUGGAAUCCCAUUGGUCUUAUAAGCAAGGGCCCAGCAGACACAGCAGGCAGUGAAUAUUAUAUUUGUGUCCGCGCGAAUGACUAGAUGAACAAGUGGAAGGAUCUGUCUGGAUGCCAAGCAGAGAGGCCCUGUCCAAAAAACUUUACGUGUGUUAUCUGACAAUCUCACAGCAGUAACCACGAGAAAGAAGCUGCAGCCUAGAGAGGUGAUGUGACAUGCUCAAGGUCAUGUAGCCAGGAAGCGAUGGAGCCUGAAUUCAAACCAGUCUGCCCCUCGACACCACACUAGAAUUACAAUGAAGUGGUGAUCCUCAGAGCAAACCCUCAUGUUGCAGGAAUGAAUGAAUGAACAAAUUACAGACACCUGGACUCAGUGGCAUGGCUGAAUGACAAUGUUUCCAGCUUUAAGGCGUUCACUGCCUUUAUUUUCUUGGGUCUCUGUUUUUGGAAUGGAGAGAGAACAGAGCGCUCUCAUCAAAUGAAGGACCGUUGCGUGCCAGAUUGAGCCUCUUGAGAUUGGAAUUGCGCUGUCUCCCUGGAGAGGCUCUGUGGAAAGUCAGGAUGUCUGCGCCGAAGACUCCUUGGAGAUCUUCUUGUCCAGAGAGGCAAAUCCACAGGCUCUUGUUUUUGUUUUGCUUUUCAGUCUACACAUGAAAAAAAAAAAAAAAAAAAAAAAAAAAUCCAGUUGCCAGUGUUAAAACAGGAAUGGAUUGCACAUGAAAAUCUGAUUUCUGGAUUCUAUUUAAAAAUCUAACAAUCUGGCAACGCUGAGCAGGCUUUCCCAGGGCUGAGCCCACCACGCCCACUUCUCCCCUCUGUGUUACUGAUCAGGCCCCUGUGGGCUGUGAGUUCCCACUCCUCCCCUGUUCCCCUACUCCUCAUGGGGGAAGGUGAGGCCCACGGGGGGCAGGGAGCGAGAGCAGGUUCCCAGGGGCUAGCCCAGGGCCAGAGAGGCCUCCCGGUUUCAUAUCCCGGGGCUGCCUUUUGUGAGGGGUGAUCUUGGGCAGUAACCAAAGAACCCCUCAGAGCUUCAGUUUUCCCAUCUCUGAAACGGAGAUGACUACAGUGAACUUGUGAGAAAUAAAUGAGAUACUGCACAUUUUACAUUUAGCACCAUCCCUGUAUGGUUACAAGGAAGAUAUUACUAAUUUUGAGUAGGUAAUAUAUGUGAUCUAUGUUCAUAAUGUGUGUUCUAGGAAGUGCCCUUGUGGCACAGUGGGUUAGGGAUCCAGCAUUGAUGCAGCUGUGGCUCAGGCUGCAACUACAGCACGGAUUCGAUCCCUGGCCUGGGAACUUCCACAUGCCAUAAGAGCAGCCAAGAAAAAAAUACACACACACACACACACAAUGUGGUCUAGUUAAUAUUCACACCCAUGCACACACACACAACUACCCCCAAACUCAGGGGCUUGAAAUAACAGUGUGUUAUUGUCUCUUGCAAUGUUUUAUUGUCUCUUCUAUGUGCUGAUUUGGUUCACAUGGGUGGUUCUCACUUAGGGUCUCUGAAGUUGUUGUGGUCACAUGGCAGCUGAGGGUGCAGUCAUGUGAAUGCUCGACUGGGGCUGAACUUCCAAGAGACCUCAUGUCAGCUGGAGCUGGAGGUCAGGUGGUUCUGUGGACCGCAGCGCCCAUACAGGGCCCCUCCAAGUGGCUUGGACUUCUCCCAGCGGUGGCUGGAGAAUGAGAGGAAAGUGUCCCAGAUGUAGCUG